GCACAAGCGGUGGAUGAUGUGGAUUAAUUCGAUGCAACGCGAAAACCUUACCUACCCUUGACAUGUCCGGAAUCCCGAAGAGAUUUGGGAGUGCUCGCAAGAGAACCGGAACACAGGUGCUGCAUGGCUGUCGUCAGCUCGUGUCGUGAGAUGUUGGGUUAAGUCCCGCAACGAGCGCAACCCUUGUCAUUAGUUGCCAUCAUUUGGUUGGGCCACUCUAAUGAGACUGCCGGUGACAAACCGGAGGAAGGUGGGGAUGACGUCAAGUCCUCAUGGCCCUUAUGGGUAGGGCUUCACACGUCAUACAAUGGUCGGUACAGAGGGUUGCCAACCCGCGAGGGGGAGCUAAUCCCACAAAGCCGAUCGUAGUCCGGAUCGCAGUCUGCAACUCGACUGCGUGAAGUCGGAAUCGCUAGUAAUCGCGGAUCAGCAUGUCGCGGUGAAUACGUUCCCGGGUCUU
rnacentral:rRNA from 1 species